AAAGAACAAAUUGGGGAAAAAAAUAUCUUCAACACACGUUAAAGUCAAAGGUGUACUUUUACUUGAAAUCACCUGUGAAUCCAUAAGACAGUUAAUAGGCUUGUGUGCCUGGCUGACUCGGUCAGUAGCGCUUGCACCUCGUGAUCUGGGGAUUGGGAGUUCAAGCCCCACCUUGGGUGUAGAGAGUACUUAAAUAA